GUGAGGAAUAUUGGACAAUGGGCGCAAGCCUGAUCCAGCUAUGCCGCGUGCAGGAAGACGCAUCUAUGGUGUGUAAACUGCUUUUGUACGGGAAGAAACACUCCCUCGUGAGGGAGCUUGACGGUACCGUAAGAAUAAGGAUCGGCUAACUCCGUGCCAGCAGCCGCGGUAAUACGGAGGAUCCAAGCGUUAUCCGGAAUCAUUGGGUUUAAAGGGUCCGUAGGCGGUUUAAUAAGUCAGUGGUGAAAGCCCAUCGCUCAACGAUGGAACGGCCAUUGAUACUGUUAGACUUGAAUUACAAGGAAGUAACUAGAAUAUGUAGUGUAGCGGUGAAAUGCUUAGAUAUUACAUGGAAUACCAAUUGCGAAGGCAGGUUACUACUUGUGGAUUGACGCUGAUGGACGAAAGCGUGGGGAGCGAACAGGAUUAGAAACCCGAGUAGUCC
rnacentral:rRNA from 1 species